rnacentral:rRNA from 1 species
UACGAAGGGGGCUAGCGUUGUUCGGAAUUACUGGGCGUAAAGCGCACGUAGGCGGAUCGUUAAGUGAGGGGUGAAAUCCCAGGGCUCAACCCUGGAACUGCCUCUCAUACUGGCGAUCUCGAGUUCGAGAGAGGUGAGUGGAAUUCCGAGUGUAGAGGUGAAAUUCGUAGAUAUUCGGAGGAACACCAGUGGCGAAGGCGGCUCACUGGCUCGACACUGACGCUGAGGUGCGAAAGCGUGGGGAGCAAACAGG